rnacentral:tmRNA from 1 species
GGGGAUGACAUGGUUUCGACGGGGAUGCAGAACCGUCUGUAGCGAGCCGAAGCUGCCGAGUCUUCGUUAAAAGCGGCAACGUUAAGAAUAAACGGCAAAAACAAAACCAACUUCGCACUCGCGGCCUGAUCGCCGCACAGCGACGUCGGCCUGAGUUCACCCGGAGGCUCAGGACCCGGCGACGACAUCCGGGAAAACUCUGUGUAAGUUCCCGGUAGCACAGGGGAAUCACGGGAUAGCGAGCCCCAGGCCGUGUCGGCGAUGCCUGAGGCGAGCGAAUUAAACCCAUCACCGGCUGCGCUCGGAGAAACAGACGUGGAAGUGUUUUCGGACGCGGGUUCGAUACCCGCCAUCUCCACCA